UACCUCUAGCUGGAAGGAAGAGCUGCGAAGAGGGCAAUUCAUCUAGCCAGCCUCUGUAAGUGGAACGUAGAGAAGAAAUCAGGAAUGGAAGUGGAAAUAAUGGAAACGUUAUUUUUGGCACAAAGGUGUUUAGCAUCAAGACUUCACUGCCUUUCUGACUAAGGAAACCUCAUGGUUUUUGGGCCACUCGGGGCGAGCUGGUAGUCAUGUCUGGAGGAAAAAUAGAGGCAAAGAACCAAGAGGCUGGGCCUUGGCCCCACCUUCCCAGAACGCUGGGGCAGAAUCUGUGCCAGUGAAUACCUCAGGAGAUAUCUGGAAGACCCAUAAAAGGAGCAGGAUUGAAAGACUCUGCUACUGAAUAAGGGAGAAUUUGAGAGUGAACACAGGGACAGGAGGGUCUGUCAACAGGAAAACGGGGACUGAAAGUCUGGGUCAGAAAUCCUGGGGGACUAGAGUGAGGCCAUGGAUACUCACAAGCCUGAGCUGGUCCCAAAUGCCAGAUCUUCUCUUCUCCCUGCCCAUCUUAACUCCCUGAGGCAGCUCUGGUUCCAGUUUGUGUUGCUCAAACAUUAGUUCUCUUCACCAUGAAUGUUCCCCACCGUGAGUGCUCCCCACCGUGAGUGCUCUUCCCUAUGAGUGCUCCCCACCAUCGUUGCUCCCCAUAAUUAGCAGGGUUUCAGUGUUCACGUUUGACUCCUUCAGGACCCUGGAUUCUGGAACAUUGCUGUGUUAGAUCCCCAGCAGAAAGACUUCUCCAGUGUCCCCAAAGACACAGACCAUGUGCUGGUGACAGCCACCAUCUAGACUAGAUGUGGCUAGAACUGUUUGUCUGUGACUCCAGAAGGCAGGAUCAACUGAGAGUGGAUAUUUGGUAAGACUGAGGCUAUAAAGGUCAAAGUUGCCCCCUGGGAUGCUUGUGCCUCCCGACAGAUGGUGGAGACAGUUACUGCAGUGACCCCCCCCCACCCCUCACUCUGCUCUGGUGCUCCUGGGGAGGAUGCCGCCAGGUCAAUCAGCUAGCAGGGGAGGUGGUGGGCAUGGCUUUCUCUGACAAAGGGUGCUGCUUUCAAGGCCUCUGGUCCUCACGUAACUAUCUUGCCAGGCCCCAUGCUAGCAGGCAGCCGGUCUCUGUGCGGCAUCCUAUGGCAGCAGGAGGGGUCCAGUUAAGCAGAGGUUCUUUGGAGGAGGGUCCUGUGUGGCCAGAAGAAACCCGAAUCUUCUCCACCACUUCUAGGUGGCAGAUUCCCACCCCACCCCAAGUCCAUUAACCAUGUAGCCUGCAAAUGCUGCUCUUGGGGACUUUCCUAAAAGCCAAGUGCAUCUCCCUGUCCCCUCCCACUGCGGCUCCAAGGUCCUUCAGCCCUAGACUUGGACCCUUUCCCAGAACUUGUCUCCAUCUAUCAGGGGCAAUGACUUUUGGCAUGGUGUGGGUAGAGAACUGAUGAUUCCGAAUAUUUAAACGGGCUGGGGACUUUCUUCACGACACUGAGACUUACAGUUCUGGGUCCCCUUACUUCUCAUCCCACAGCCCUUUUCAGAGAGCAGCAGGACGUUUGAGUUGGCUGGGCUUUCCUGGCAGCUGAGAAGGAUGGGCCAGCCGUACCCUGGUCUCCCUGAGCCUCCAUUUCCUCAUCUGUCCCAUGGGGGCAUUGGCAGCCACAUUGCAGGAUCAUGGGGGGCAGGGAUGAAAGGUUGAGGGGCAAGCUCUAGGUUUACAUUUUGUAAACACAGCCCGACUGUAUUAACGUUGCUUCCAUCCCACAAGCGCCACUGAUGUGCUGAGCCUGGUUUCCGUG